rnacentral:rRNA from 1 species
GAGGGGAACCUCCCACCCUUUGUGUCCUACCGCGGGGGCUUUGGCGGGCCGCGGUCCUCCGCGGCCGCCCCCCUCCCCGGGGGGUGGCCAGCGCCCGCCAGAGGACCAUGAAACUCCAGUCGGGAACUAUGCAGUCUGAAGAACAUUUAAUAAACUA